rnacentral:tRNA from 1 species
UCCGAGGUGGCUCAGUGGGUAAAGAAUCUGCCUGCAAUUCAGGAGACCCAGGUUCGAUCCCUGGGUUGGGAU